rnacentral:rRNA from 1 species
GACGGAGGGUGCUAGCGUUGUUCGGAAUCACUGGGCGUAAAGGGCGCGUAGGUGGCGACCCAAGUCAACGGUGAAAGCUCGGCGCUUAACGCCGAGUCGGCCGUCGAUACUGGGUGGCUCGAGCACUGUAGAGGCAGAUGGAAUUCCGGGUGUAGCGGUGGAAUGCGUAGAGAUCCGGAAGAACACCGGUGGCGAAGGCGGUCUGCUGGGCAGUUGCUGACACUGAGGCGCGACAGCGUGGGGAGCAAACAGG